GACGGGACCCGCACAAGCGGUGGAUGAUGUGGAUUAAUUCGAUGCAACGCGAAGAACCUUACCUACCCUUGACAUGUCCGGAACUUGCCAGAGAUGGCUUUGGGUGCCCGAAAGGGAAUCGGAACACAGGUGCUGCAUGGCUGUCGUCAGCUCGUGUCGUGAGAUGUUGGGUUAAGUCCCGCAACGAGCGCAACCCUUAUCAUUAGUUGCUACGCAAGGGCACUCUAAUGAGACUGCCGGUGACAAACCGGAGGAAGGUGGGGAUGACGUCAAGUCCUCAUGGCCCUUAUGGGUAGGGCUUCACACGUCAUACAAUGGUCGGUACAGAGGGUUGCCAAGCCGCGAGGCGGAGCCAAUCCCACAAAGCCGAUCGUAGUCCGGAUUGUUCUCUGCAACUCGAGAGCAUGAAGUCGGAAUCGCUAGUAAUCGCAGGUCAGCAUACUGCGGUGAAUACGUUCCCGGGUCUU
rnacentral:rRNA from 1 species